rnacentral:lncRNA from 1 species
GUUCGCCUUGUCCCGUCAAGUCUCACCAGCGUGUUACAGUGUUUCCUGUGCUCUAGUUUUUGUUUUUCCUAGUCUUCCCAGUUCUGACCUUUCUGCCUGUCCGACCUGAUCCUGCCUGAAUCUGAUUUGGAUUAUGACUCUUUGCCUGCCUUGACUUACCUUUUUCCUGCUCCUUGUUAUAUAAUAAACUCUGAGAUUCGUACUAUCCACCUCCUGUGUCUGCAUUGGGGUCUUAGCCUGAGCCUUGAUACUUCCUAAAGAGAAAGACAGUUACUACAUCAGUGAAGCACCUGGACAUCCACAUCAAGGACUGUCAUCCCUGCCUAACAUCAAACCUCAGAGGAGAGGAAUGGAGGGAAGAAUGGAUAGAAGGAUGUAGGGAUGAAGGGAUGGAAAAAGGGUUCAGAGAGAGGGCCAUCUCAGCCCUCUGGCUCACAUCCAUCUGAGAGGAGGCAGAGGGGAAUGAGGACUGGUUCUGUCCCUCAACAGCAAGCAUCUGUUUCACUCUGGUGCCAUCUAGUUGACCAGACUAAAACUGCAGCAGACUAUAUUCUCUCUCGCUCUCGCUCUCUCUCUCUC